UACCAGCACCCCGAGUGGUCGGGACGUUUAUUGGGCCUAAAGCAUCCGUAGCCGGUUCUACAAGUCUUCCGUUAAAUCCACCUGCUUAACAGAUGGGCUGCGGAAGAUACUAUAGAGCUAGGAGGCGGGAGAGGCAAGCGGUACUCGAUGGGUAGGGGUAAAAUCCGUUGAUCCAUUGAAGACCACCAGUGGCGAAGGCGGCUUGCCAGAACGCGCUCGAGGGUGAGGGAUGAAAGCUGGGGAGCAAACCGG
rnacentral:rRNA from 1 species